GUAACGAUUGUUUGUAUCAGAACAGGUAAUGCUAGAUGCAAAAAAAGGUUUUGUUGGUUCCAACGGCAGGUUACCCCGCCGAAGGAGAACGAAAGGUGCUCGUAAAAAAAGGAUUGGAUAUCGCGACGCAACCACCAGGGCAUGAGUACUCCUGGGGCCGCGCCGCCCUUGAUGCCCGUAAUGAUCCUUCCGCAGGUUCACCUACGGAAA
rnacentral:misc_RNA from 1 species